rnacentral:rRNA from 1 species
GAUGAACGCUGGCGGCGUGCUUAACACAUGCAAGUCGAACGAAGCACCUCUCCCGAAGAUUGACACAGCUUGCUGUAGAUUGAUUCAUUUGAGGUGACUGAGUGGCGGACGGGUGAGUAACGCGUGGGUAACCUGCCUCAUAGAGGGGGACAACAGUUGGAAACGACUGCUAAUACCGCAUAGUAAGAAGAAUUCGCAUGUUUUCUUCUUGAAAGAUUUAUCGCUAUGAGAUGGACCCGCGUCUGAUUAGCUAGUUGGUAAGGUAACGGCUUACCAAGGCGACGAUCAGUAGCCGGCUUGAGGGAGUGAACGGCCACAUUGGGACUGAGACACGGCCCAAACUCCUACGGGAGGCAGCAGUGGGGAAUAUUGCACAAUGGGGGAAACCCUGAUGCAGCGACGCCGCGUGAGUGAAGAAGUAUUUCGGUAUGUAAAGCUCUAUCAGCAGGGAAGAUAAUGACGGUACCUGACUAAGAAGCCCCGGCUAACUACGUG